GACGAACGCUGGCGGCGUGCUUAACACAUGCAAGUCGAACGGAAAGGCCCUGCUUUUGUGGGGUGCUCGAGUGGCGAACGGGUGGGUAACACGUGAGUAACCUGCCCUUGACUUUGGGAUAACUUCAGGAAACUGGGGCUAAUACCGGAUAGGAGCUCCUGCUGCAUGGUGGGGGUUGGAAAGUUUCGGCGGUUGGGGAUGGACUCGCGGCUUAUCAGCUUGUUUGUGGGGUAGUGGCUUACCAAGGCUUUGACGGGUAGCCGGCCUGAGAGGGUGACCGGCCACAUUGGGACUGAGGUACGGAGCAGAAUGCUACGGGAGGCAGAAGUGGGGAGUAUGGCGGAGUGGGCGGAAGCCUGAUGCAGCAGCGCCGCGUGCGGGAUGACGGGCUUCGGGUUGUAAACCACUUUCGACUGUGACGAGGAGUGAGUGACGGUAAUGGGUAAGGAAGCACCGGCUAACUACGUG
rnacentral:rRNA from 1 species